CGGGAUGUAGCGCAGUUUGGUAGCGCGCUACGUUCGGGACGUAGAGGUCGCUGGUUCGAAUCCAGUCAUCCCGA
rnacentral:tRNA from 1 species